rnacentral:sRNA from 1 species
GCUGCGCACUUCGGUCUUUUACGUCGGCCUUCGCGAGCGUCUGGGCGGGUGGUAGGUGAGUGGGUAUUGCGGGCUAGUAUCCGAGCAAAAGAUGGUGGCGCAGGCCGAGUUAAGAGCUUUAAUCCUGUGAAGACAUCUUAGUGAAGAGUUUAGAGUGCUGAGAGUUGAAAGCUUGCACGUGGGAAACGUGCGGCCGGACUGCCACAUGUACUGAGGUUGAGUCGUGACGGCCACAGGCUCCGAAUUUUGGCGUGAGGAACCGCUGAUCGGCCACGGGCGCCGAACUUGCUGGCCUCCGGCAUGUGCCUGAGCGGCGGCGGAAAAACCACCUUAAUUGGGGCGGAGGGUUAGUUUUAAGAGCAAAGGGCCUUUACUAAAAUGGCGAAGGCCUUCCGUCGGCGUUGUUUUAAAAUGGGAAGCCUCGACCCUGUAUUGAAACUGAGCUGUUCGAAGGCGGCGUUGUGUGCAAUUCGGAUUAAUGAAGGGGAAGGGUUUUGUGUGGAAAAACGCCUUGGAGUGUGACAUUUCUGCGAGAAUGCUUAAAUACCGAUUUCCCGCAGGAACAAUGGCGCUGUCUUAAGUGGCACAGUGGAGCAGCUCUGAAGAUGCAAAGAUACACGAAAAAACUUCCAGAACAUCUGGGAGAAUAUUUAAUGGAAAAUCGCUUGGUUAAAACCUGACACUUUUAACAGCGUUCUGAGUGUGGACGAGUAGCCAGUGAAGAUAAUGAAUGUCGAAUGUGACUGACUAGCAGCUUCAUUUUGAAUGAGGGUCGCUGUCUGCCCAUUGAUAGAGGCCAGAUUGUCUUGGAAGUUCCAAAGUUGCAACGAUUUCUGGCUAGUGCCACGAGGUUUACUUGACUGUUGUGUGAAAAGCUGAUAAGAAAACCAUCCAGAAAAAAGCUCUUCGUUUUACAAACAUGAAAAUAAAACAUUUAGUUGAAUCCAUGGACAUGAAACCCACAGAUAUAGAGGGUUGGCCCGGUGCAGUGGCUCACGCCUGUAAUCCCAGCACUUUGGGAGGCCAAGGCGGGUGGAUCACCUGAGGUCAGAAGCUUGAGACCAGCCUGGCCAACAUGGGUACUGCUUUCUCUUGCUGCAGCUUGCUUCCUCCCUCAGGUAUGAAGUUAAGGUAACAUGAAGGAGGAUAUUGAAUGUUCCUAACACAAAGAAAUGAUAAAUGUUUGAGAUGGUGGAUGUACUAAUUGCCCUGAUCUGAUGACUAUACAUUAUAUAUAUUGAAACAUCAGUAUGUACCCCAUGAAUAUGUACAAUUAUAUGUCAACUUAAACACAUUUAAAAGUAAAAAAAAAAAAAUCCAAAA